GAUGAACGCUGGCGGCGUGCCUAAUACAUGCAAGUCGAGCGAACAGACCAGGAGCUUGCUCCUCUGACGUUAGCCGCGGACGGGUGAGUCACACGUGGAUAACCUACCUAUCAGACUGGGAUAACUUCGGGACACCGGCGCUAAUACCGGAUAAUAUAUUGAACCGCAUUGUUCAAUAGUGAAAUACGGUUUUUCUGUCACUUCUCGAUGGUUCCGCGCCGCAUUAGCUAGUUGGUAAGGUAACGGCUUACCAAGGCAACGAAGCGUAGCCGACCUGAGCGGGUGAUCGGCCACACUGGAAGGGAGACACGGUCCAGACUCCUACGGGAGGCAGCAGUAGGGAAUCGUCCGCAAUGGGCGGAAGCCUGACGGAGCAACGCCGAGUGAGUGAUGAAGGUCUUCGGAGCGGAAAACUCUGUUAUUAGGGAAGAACAAAUGUGUAAGUAACUAUGCACGUCUUGACGGUACCUAAUCAGAAAGCCACGGCUAACUACGUG
rnacentral:rRNA from 1 species